GGUGAGGCAGUGUGCCAGUGGGGCACUUCCAAGGAACACUACUCAGGGAGCACUGGAGGAAGGAUUUCAGCUCUGAUGCUCUUCCAAGACAUCAGCACCAACUGGCAUCCCUGGCAUUCAUCUUUUGGGUGAGACCAUGGCUGAAAUCCUCUCUCUCAAAGCAAAUGCUGCAGCUGGACACUGCAGAGAAGUGCUCUGGAACAGGAGUGAGAACGACAUGCUUGAUGAAACAUGUCAAGCUACAUUAUAUUGUAGGACUGCUUAAUCAAAAGGGCCUGCAAGCAGAAUUGGGGUAUUUAAUGAAGGCUGAGGUCCUUCAGCAGAAAUGUGGCAUAGAUCGGGUGCAAUGGAUAAGUGCAUAAGCGGAGAAUUUUAAAUUCAAAUGUUCUCUGAAACUCCAAAACCAGAAGGAAACAAAAGGAAAAAUCAAGCUACAGAGGAGAGGAAAACAUAAACGACAGCAACUUAUUUAUCUGCUCUCCUUUGAACUCACUUCUGCCUGUUGCCUUGAACAUUUCCUAUGCCUGUAGUAGGUACUUUUACCUCUCUGCCACAAUUUUAUUAUUUUUGAAUGAAAUUAAGAGAAUGUUUGAGAUACCUCCAGCUGGAAGAGCUGAGCACUUGACAGUUCAAUGUUCACAGCUUACUGCUGAAGAUUCAAACUGCAUAUCAUGGACUGGAAUGUCAGGACUCUGCCAGGUUCUAAUGCAUGGUACCACCUCUUUUGACUUGGUAGGGAAAGAGACUCCUCAUGUUUUUAGUUUUUUUUAGCUUUUGUACCUUU